rnacentral:rRNA from 1 species
GAUUAACGCUGGCGGUAUGUAUAAUACAUGCAAGUCGAACGGCCCUUCGGGGCAGUGGCGAACGGGUGAGUAAUACGUUGGUAGUUUCCCCGCACUCAGGGAUACCCCACAGAAAUGUGGGCUAAUACCGGAUGGUCUCGCGAGAGUAAAGCUUUUGCGGUGCGGGAGAUGCCUGCGUCCUAUCAGCUAGUUGGUGAGGUAACGGCCCACCAAGGCUAUGACGGGUAACUGGUCUGAGAGGACGGCCAGU